UGCAACAGUGGAAACCUCUGUUCGUUCUCUGCAACAGACGAUUUAGAAACUAUCCCGUCUCUGCUCUUUAACAACAAACAAUUCAAAAGGUUUAUCAUCUCUGUUUUGGAUUUUAAGACCUUUUUUUUACUAUUCAAGAAGAACUGCUGAAUUAAAUAAAGAGAUUUAUAUCGCAAUGAAGUACAAAACUUUGAAGCAAAUAUCAGUGAAUAUGGGAUGUAGUUAACAUAGCAAACAACUAUGAUCUGAUCAACAUUGCUAUGAUUUCGGUUGACUAAUAGUGGGUAUUCUUUACUUAGGGAUCCCCAGUACAACAAAGGACUUACCAAUGCUUUGGUCAUUCAGUUGACUCCUUGAUGCCAGUCCGUACUUGCUGUCAUGCUAACAA